GCCUUCGUGGCGUAGUGCUCAGCACGCUCGACGUGUAACCGAGAGGUCCGUGGUUCGAUUCCCGGAGAAGGCG
rnacentral:tRNA from 1 species